AUUGAACGCUGGCGGCAUGCUUUACACAUGCAAGUCGAACGGUAACAGGUUAAGCUGACGAGUGGCGAACGGGUGAGUAAUGCAUCGGAACGUGCCCGGUCGUGGGGGAUAACGCAGCGAAAGCUGCGCUAAUACCGCAUACGAUCUGAGGAUGAAAGCGGGGGACCGGAAGGCCUAGCUCGAUCGGAGCGGCCGAUGUCAGAUUAGGUAGUUGGUGGGGUAAAGGCUCACCAAGCCAACGAUCUGUAGCUGGUCUGAGAGGACGACCAGCCACACUGGGACUGAGACACGGCCCAGACUCCUACGGGAGGCAGCAGUGGGGAAUUUUGGACAAUGGGCGAAAGCCUGAUCCAGCAAUGCCGCGUGCAGGAAGAAGGCCUUCGGGUUGUAAACUGCUUUUGUACGGAGCGAAAAGGUCUCCUCUAAUACAGGGGGCUCAUGACGGUACCGUAAGAAUAAGCACCGGCUAACUACGUGCCAGCAGCCGCAGUAA
rnacentral:rRNA from 1 species